GCUCAGGACGAACGCUGGCGGCGUGCCUAACACAUGCAAGUCGAACGAAGCUUGACGAAUGAUUCUUCGGAUGAAUUCUGAUAUGACUGAGUGGCGGACGGGUGAGUAACGCGUGAGCAACCUGCCCUUCAGAGGGGGAUAGUGUCUGGAAACGGACAGUAAUACCGCAUAACGUACAUUGAUGGCAUCUUCGAUGUACCAAAGCUUUUGCGCUGAAGGAUGGGCUCGCGUCUGAUUAGAUAGUUGGUGGGGUAAUGGCCUACCAAGUCGACGAUCAGUAGCCGGACUGAGAGGUUGAACGGCCACAUUGGGACUGAGACACGGCCCAGACUCCUACGGGAGGCAGCAGUA
rnacentral:rRNA from 1 species